UAGAAUCUCGCUAAUCAAAUAUCGGAUAUUUUAGCAGUAACAAGCCCAAGGCGACAUGCUUUCACUGCUAUGAUUCUUAGGAAGCUACUAUAGCUCUUGGCUCUUGCACCUAGACACGUCAAAAAGAUAAAUAAAGGUAGGUGCAAGCAUGAACUAGAUGAUUCCGGAUAUGCAACGCUCUACCCAGUUAAAGAUUAAACAGUUUGCAGGUAUACUAAUACAAGUAAUUGUGGAGACUAAACAUCCAUAUGUACCCUAAUGCAAUCUAGUUUCCUAUCCCCUCUACCAAACCAAAACUAAAUUCCCAAAACAAAUACUUGUAAUGUCUCCAUAUUUGACACGGAUGGGAUUCUCUAUGAAACUCAAAAAGCAUUAGCUGUAUCUUUAAUCCUGAUGAUGACACUCUGGAACGUAUAUCAAAAAUCUCUUUAUAGUGAAACAUAAAAAAUCUCCAUACAUAGACAAGUGAUUUAACCCUAUUCCAGUCACCAGAGUUCCCAUGUCCAUGACAUCUAAUCAACAAGCAUAAAAAAGCAGAUAUUUUUCUAGGUACGUCAGCAGAGAUUUCUAGGUUCAUCAACAAAAGAUAAACCUUAUCUGAUCUUCUACGUCACUGAACUAGUGGAUUGCCCAAAGCUACGAAAAGUUUGACCCUCAAACCAUAAGAAUAUAGUAGGACAGACAAAAAAGCUCCAAAAUUUUCACCAGCUAGCGCACCAUUUGUGUCUGAAAGUAAAGGAAUCUAUCUAGCUAUCAAACUUUCUGAGUGAAAAAUAUACUCCUUCAAUAUACAGAUAGACAAAAGAAAGCAAGAUGCCUUGCAACACUGCCAGUAUUUACAGCAAGGAUUGUAACCUACAAUGUUUUAAUUAGUUAUUUCAUCUUGAUACCCAACAGAUUAAAAAUGACUCAGAUGGCCAACAUAUCAAUCAAUUCGACUAUGUGAAUCCUCUUACUCAAUUCAUCAUCUACUGCCGAGUAGUGGAGCUAUGAUUUUUACCAAGGGGUUUAAAAAUAUAAAGAGGUAAACUCAUGAAGAAACCAAGGAGAUUCAACAUCUACUACAUAUAUAUUUAAAAAAUUAAUAUUGACCAAUAUAGUGUAUUUUUUAACCCCCCUUACGUUACCCUGGCUCCGGCCCUGCUACUAAAGUCAUUCCUUUACACCUGAGUGCCGAUCCUCCUCCUUUAUCUGUGGAAGACCGGGUAUUCUUUGUAAAGCUUACACAGAAGAAGUUGAGAUGACCAACAUAUAUAUGAGCCUAUAAAAUCAGUCACAAGAUGGAUUAAUUUUAUUUAUUGGGGUUGGAUUAGAUAAAAGUAGAGGGACAUGAGAAAGAAAAAGGAAUUAAUUAAAGAGAUCAUACGAGAACUAGUGGCCACCCAGAGUUGCAUCUCGCUUUCUUCAUAGUGUCCGUCAGGGCGCACAGUAACGAGAAUAAGGGUAUCCCCUUUACGAAUAAUGUUAUCAAUCGCCCAUUUCAAAGCUUUCUUGCUGCAUGCUGAGAAAUCUACUGCUACCCCAACAAAUCUAUCACCUCCUUCCAUCCCUCUUUAAGAUUUUUGCUUUGAUUAAGAACUUUCAACAACAACAAUAAUGGAGAGAGCAACUUGAUCACGACUAUUUCAGGAUGGAAGAAGACAAGUACUCAAGUAGUGCAAUGUUGAUUUGUCGGAUGUCAUAUUUUCCUACCACUUGUAAAGCCAAAAUGAGGUUGUUGGGACCCACUUUUCUGGCUCAUGAAAUUCCCACUUGUCUCUUUCAUGCUUUCUUUGACGUGAGGACAUCACGUUCUAAUAUAAAUUGGAUAAGUGUAGUGUAAUUUAACUAGUAUACUAGUAUUGUCUUUGCUGAGAUUGAACAUUACUUUUUCACAAUGCAUCCCUCUAAAUCUUGAACUGUUAUAUUUGAGACUUGAGAGCGAGAAUUUACUAGCUGGAUUAUAAGUUGGUCAUAUGAAAUUUUACUUUUUUGUAAGGGUGUUUAAAAUCAAAUUGUAACCCAUAAUUUAAUUAUAUAAUUAGUUUAUUGGCUAUUUGGUUUACCGGUAACGGGUAAUCGGAUUAACUAUUGGAGAAUGCAUUAAAAUUUUAUAAUUAAUGAUUUAUCAAUGUGGGAACGGAAUUUUCAAUUUUCUUAUCGGGUGAACCGUUAGCCCAUUAAGAAUUAUCAUGUUUAUAUUUUUUACCCCUAGAUAUAUAAAGUUUCUUUUGUAAAUCCAAAAACUAAAAUUUCAUUCAUUAUUCUACUCAUUACAUCUCGUGACUUCUAACCAUAAAGUGUAGUUGAUCUUCCUAACACAUAUACAAAACCUAAAAUCAAGUCCUAAAUCUAAAAACGAAUCAUUCUUGAUAACAUGAAGAACCGUAACAAAAAUAAAACAAUGUCGAUAUGUCCUUCACAAAAUUUCAUAUAAAACCAAAAACAAAAAAUCAAAUCAUAUCAAGGUUUAAUUUUUCUUUCAACCAAUAAUUAAAAAGUUUUGUUUCUACAUAUGUUUUACGUCUAGAAGAAAAUUUUCAUAUGAAUCUAUGUUUUUACAAAGAACUCUUUCUUUUUUUUUUUUUUUGAUAACCUUGAUGUUCGGGUUAACAUGACCAAAAUAUAAGUUUCAGCUAUUAUGAAUGAAAGGUCCAGCAACCACAUAAUGUCAAGCUUAAAACAGAACAUACAAUAGAAUUCAAACCAUCCUUAUUUAGUAGAUUCUCAAAAACCUUCUUCUCACAGGAUUAGUAUUUUUACCUGUAUCAAAACCAUAUUUUCCAUCUUUCAUGUAGAUUGAAGGAAGCCCCCAUGUAAAACACAACAAUAAAACACAAUACUGCCUUCUUUAGUGAAGCUACCUUAAAAUCUAAGAUGACAAGCAUAUAAAUAGAUGAAGCCAGAUUAGAGUUCAAAAAGUUUAUUUACCACAACAUGACAGGAAUUACAUACGUUCAAAAUGAGGGUACAUAAUACACACAUCAACAUGUUCAAGCUUGAUCCUAAUCAAGCUUACAAAACAGAUAAGAUUAUUUUAACAUAAGCUUAGAUCUCAAUGACAAUAAAUCAGCUCUGCCUGUAUAGGAGUUCAGCUCAUUGUAUAAUUAGUCUUCUGCCUUCUUCACAACAGUAACAGGACAGGUAGCAUUAUUCACCACAUAAUUGCUUACACUUCCCAUAAUAGCCCUGUGAAGAUAUUGAGGAAAAACUAUAAGUUACAAUAUUCCCUUUAUUUUGAGCAGAGUAGACGUAGUAAUGCAAUUACUAAAUGAUUAUGAGCUUUUUGCUGAAAUUCCACUCGAGUAAUACCAAGUUUACUCAUGCUACCUAAAUACAUUUGGAAUAUGGUAGCAAGAACAUAUUGGCAUCUUUGUCAAGGAAUAACUGCAACCAAAGCUCCGGUACUCCACAAUAGUUGCAAAAGAUAAAGCAGUGAAGUGACUAAUUUCCACUUUGACUUAAUACACAACAUGAUAUUCAGUCACAAAAGGAAUUACAGAAAAGAUAACACCUCUUGAUCUUUCCAAGCCCUCUGUUCCCUAUGACCAGACAGCUCAAGGGAGUUCUGUCAAUUGCUUCACAUAACUUCUCACGAGCAUCCCCCCAGAAAAUUUUCAUGACAACUGUAAUCUGCAAGCAAAAAAAUCCUGUAAGAAUACUUAAUCUAGGUAUGCUUCCUGAGAAACACCGGAUCUCAUAAAAGAAGAGAAAAUAUCACCUCCAUUUGCCUAGCAGCGAGGCUUAUCAUUUGCAAUGUUUCGGGGUCAGGGUUAACCCCAUACCUUUUCAUUGUGUGGCUAUCACAUAACUCGGAUAAGGGAAUGAAAGCUGUAAAAGAAAAAAAAGAACAAAUAGAUCUCAAAAGAUGUAUCAGAAGAUAGAAUCUCGCUAAUCAAAUAUCGGAUAUUUUAGCAGUAACAAGCCCAAGGCGACAUGCUUUCACUGCUAUGAUUCUUAGGAAGCUACUAUAGCUCUUGGCUCUUGCACCUAGACACGUCAAAAAGAUAAAUAAAGGUAGGUGCAAGCAUGAACUAGAUGAUUCCGGAUAUGCAACGCUCUACCCAGUUAAAGAUUAAACAGUUUGCAGGUAUACUAAUACAAGUAAUUGUGGAGACUAAACAUCCAUAUGUACCCUAAUGCAAUCUAGUUUCCUAUCCCCUCUACCAAACCAAAACUAAAUUCCCAAAACAAAUACUUGUAAUGUCUCCAUAUUUGACACGGAUGGGAUUCUCUAUGAAACUCAAAAAGCAUUAGCUGUAUCUUUAAUCCUGAUGAUGACACUCUGGAACGUAUAUCAAAAAUCUCUUUAUAGUGAAACAUAAAAAAUCUCCAUACAUAGACAAGUGAUUUAACCCUAUUCCAGUCACCAGAGUUCCCAUGUCCAUGACAUCUAAUCAACAAGCAUAAAAAAGCAGAUAUUUUUCUAGGUACGUCAGCAGAGAUUUCUAGGUUCAUCAACAAAAGAUAAACCUUAUCUGAUCUUCUACGUCACUGAACUAGUGGAUUGCCCAAAGCUACGAAAAGUUUGACCCUCAAACCAUAAGAAUAUAGUAGGACAGACAAAAAAGCUCCAAAAUUUUCACCAGCUAGCGCACCAUUUGUGUCUGAAAGUAAAGGAAUCUAUCUAGCUAUCAAACUUUCUGAGUGAAAAAUAUACUCCUUCAAUAUACAGAUAGACAAAAGAAAGCAAGAUGCCUUGCAACACUGCCAGUAUUUACAGCAAGGAUUGUAACCUACAAUGUUUUAAUUAGUUAUUUCAUCUUGAUACCCAACAGAUUAAAAAUGACUCAGAUGGCCAACAUAUCAAUCAAUUCGACUAUGUGAAUCCUCUUACUCAAUUCAUCAUCUACUGCCGAGUAGUGGAGCUAUGAUUUUUACCAAGGGGUUUAAAAAUAUAAAGAGGUAAACUCA
rnacentral:lncRNA from 1 species